UGUAGCCAGGCUCCCUGAAUGAAUUGACACGGCGAUUGGAAAAUUACGACCAGAACCUUCAAUUUGGAGGCGAGAUUGCAGCAGAUUUGUCGUGUUUGUGUUCCAAGCCGCAGAGCGUGGUCUGCAGCAACAAAGAGAAGCAAGAAGCAGAAAAUGACCAGGAUUAUCAAACAACGGUGAGUCCCUGCUGCAUGUGACAAUGGAAAGAGAUCGCGGUGUCGUUGGGAUAGUGCCACCUAAACUUGGCGAAAUAGAUCCAGGAAAACCAUGGUGAGAAUGUCGUCGCGGCACCUGUUGCGGAGUAGCAGUACGUCGAGACGACGAUUAAAGCGCUGAGCUGCCCAUUUGUGCUCAGCCCACACCCUCCCUCUCUUACAUUCUGAAAUCCGGGGCCUACCGGGCUAUUUUUACUUGCAGCAAAUGUUUUUGCUUGAAACAGUGAAUUUGAACAUUUUUUCCCCUCAAGAGUAAUCAGCGAUGAAAUGAAGCUAGUCGUUUUAACAAAUCAUUCAAAAUUGUACACAUUCUAAAUACAAUAAACACAUUGAAUAUAUCUGCUCAAUUAUGAUUUAUAAGCCUGAUACCCUUACACAGCUGAAAGUACAAGCAAUAAAUGUAUCUUGAAUAUAGUCAGCAUGUGUAGCUAACGAUCAAAACUAAUUUGCCAGUCAAAUAAAAUGAUGAGUUGUCUGAA